GAGGGUAUAGCUCAAAGUGGUACAGCACAUGCUUAGCAUGCACAAGGUCCUGGGUUCAAUCCCCAGUAUCUCCU
rnacentral:tRNA from 1 species